rnacentral:rRNA from 1 species
GAGUUUGAUCCUGGCUCAGAUUGAACGCUGGCGGCAUGCCUUACACAUGCAAGUCGAACGGUAACAGGUCUUCGGACGCUGACGAUUGGUGAACGGGUGAGUGAUACAUCGAAACGUGCCCAGUCCUGGGGGAUAACUACUCGAAAGAGUAGCUAAUACCGCAUACUAUCUGAUGAUGACAGCGGUGGAUCUUCGGGCCUCUCGCGAUUGGAGCGGCCGAUGGCAGAUUAGGUAUUUGGUGGGAUAAAAUCUUACCAAUCCGACGAUCUGUAGCUGGUCUGACAAGACAACCAACCACACUGGGACUGAGUACACGGCCCACACUCCUACGGGAAGCAGCACCGGGGAAUUAUGGACAGUGGGCGAAAGCCUGAUCCAGCAAUGCCGCGUGCAGGAUGAAGGCCUUCGCGUUGUAAAGUGCUUUUGUACGGAACGAAAAAGCUCUCUCCUAAUACGAGAGGCCCAUGACGGUACCGUAAGAAUAACCACCGGCUAUCUACGUGCCAGCACCCGCGGAUAAUACGUAGGGUGCGAGCGUCACUCAGAAUUACUGUGCGUAAAGCGUGCGCAUGCGGUUAUGUAACACAGAUGUGAAAUCCCCGGGCUCAACCUGGGAACUGCAUGAGUGACUGCAUGGCUAGAGUACGGUAGAGGGGGAUGGAACUCCGCGUGUAGCAGUGAUAUGCGUAGAUAUGCGGAGGAACACCGAUGGCGAAGGCAAUCCCGUGGACCUGUACUGACGCUCAUGCACGAAAGCGUGGGGCGCACACAGGAUUAGACACUGUGGUAGUCCACGCCCUACACGAUGUCAACUGGUUGUUGGGACUUAGUUUUCUCAGUACCGAAGCUAACGCGUGAAGUUGACCGCCUGGGGAGUACGUCCGCAAGGUUGAAACUCAAAGGAAUUGACGGGGACCCGCACAAGCGGUGGAUGAUGUGGUUUAAUUCGAUGCAACGCGAAAAACCUUACCCACCUUUGACAUGCCAGGAACUUCCCAGAGAUGGAUUCGUGCUCGAAAGAGAACCUGCACACAGGUGCUGCAUGGCCGUCGUCAGCUCUUGUCGUGAGAUGCCGCGUUAAGUCCCGCAACGAGCGCCACCCUUGUCAUUAGUCGACACAUUCAGUUGGGCACUCUAGAUGAGACUGCCGGUGACAAACCGGAGGAAGGUGGGGAUGACGUCAAGUCAUCAUGCCCCUUAUAGGCGGGGCUACACACGUCAUACAAUGGCUGGUACAGAGGGUAGCCAACCCGCGAGGGGGAGCUAAUCCCAUACCACCCGUCGUAGUCCGGAUCGCAGUCUGCAACUCGACUGCGUGAAGUCGGAAUCGCUAGUAAUCGCGGAUCAGCAUGCCGCGGUGAAUACGUUCCCGGGUCUUGUACACACCGCCCGUC